rnacentral:rRNA from 1 species
AACGAACGCUGGCGGCAUGCCUAACACAUGCAAGUCGAACGAGACCUUCGGGUCUAGUGGCGCACGGGUGCGUAACGCGUGGGAACCUGCCCUUAGGUUCGGAAUAACUCCCCGACAGGGGUGCUAAUACCGGAUAAUGUCUUCGGACCAAAGAUUUAUCGCCUUUGGAUGGGCCCGCGUUGGAUUAGCUAGUUGGUAGGGUAAAAGCCUACCAAGGCUACGAUCCAUAGCUGGUCUGAGAGGAUGAUCAGCCACACUGGGACUGAGACACGGCCCAGACUCCUACGGGAGGCAGCAGGGGGGAAUAUUAGACAAUGGGCGAAAGCCUGAUCCAGCAAUGCCGCGUGAGUGAUGAAGGCCUUAGGGUUGUAAAGCUCUGUUACCCGGGAUGAUAAUGACAGUACCGGGAGAAUAAGCUCCGGCUAACUCCGUG